rnacentral:rRNA from 1 species
UACGUAGGUGGCAAGCGUUGUCCGGAAUUAUUGGGCGUAAAGCGCGCGUAGGCGGCCCUGUAAGUCCGUUGUGAAAGUCAAAGGCUCAACCUUUGAAUGCCGAUGGAUACUGCAGGGCUAGAGUCCGGAAGAGGCAAGUGGAAUUCCUGGUGUAGCGGUGGAAUGCGCAGAUAUCAGGAGGAACACCAACGGCGAAGGCAGCUUGCUGGGACGGUACUGACGCUAAGGCGCGAAAGCGUGGGGAGCGAACAGG